AGUACAGGGAGGCAGAGCUGCCAGCUCCUGUACCCCCAGCCACAGAGGGUAAGGAGGAGGGUGCUGUCUCUGCCUGGUUUGUCACCGUUCCUCUUGGGAUCCCGUUCUGCAGCCUCCAGCUCACCUUCAGGCUCCUGUCCUCACCCUACGGGCUGUUUCCUCCCAGAAGCUUCCAUGCAUUCCCUUGUUUCCUAAAUCCGUGUACAUGCGUUUGUAGUUUGUCUGACUGGAACCAAGAUGCAGUUCAAGAUCUGCCUCCUCCAGGCAGCCCUCCCAGCUGGGCUCCUGGAGUUGGUUUUUUUCCUUCAGGAAGGAUCCUCCAGGACAGAUGUCCAAGUGUUUAGAGGGGACAGGACCGUCCACGCCACUCCAGCCAGGCUUCCUUCACACCGCCACAGCCCCCACUCCUUGUCCGGUGAGCCAUCUCCCAGGGCCUGGAGCUCAUCAGUGCUCCUAUGUGUGGGGUCAGCAGUGGCCUGCCCUGGAGGACGCUGCCGCCUUCCCGAUGCUCUCUGCCCACAGAAACCCCCAACCCCCCUGGCAGCCAAGGGAACUGAGCCUGUGGCCCCCGGACAGCAAGCCCUGAGGUGUCCUCCUAGGAGGACUGUCCACUGCUUCAGGGCCCCUCCUGCACCUCCCUGCUCUGUGCUGGACAUGUGGCCUGGGGCUUCCGGGCUUGGCUCUGUCGCAUGUUGCCUUCCCUGGAGCUUGGCUUCCUAGACAGGGUCCCACCAAGCCUACAUGGACCAGAGCCGUGGGUGCGGUGAGGUCCGUGUCUGUGUGUGGGGCCCUCACGCCGUGGCCGUGGUGGCACAGUGGGCUGGGGGAAGCCCCUCUGGCGCUGCUGGCCCUGCAGCUGGCACCGGCUUCUGCCUGUUGCAACAGAGGUGGAAGUGAGGGCAGUGGUCCAGUGGGCAACAGCAGCCUGGCCCCUCAGGAACUGUGCCAGUCGGUGGAUGAGGGAGUGGGUGGGCAGGGCCCCUCCCCACAACAGUCAGCCGCUGUGGGCAUUGGCCCUCCUGGGGAGGCCAGACAGGAUCGAGUCACCGUUUUUCCUGAUACUGCUGGAAUGUGGCCUCGGGGAGCAUGUCGGGUACAAUACCAGGAGCGAUUGAAGGAGAGGGACCAGGCUGGGUGUGUGGUCAGCAGGGUUGAGGCCAGGACUCUGGGCUCCACCAAGAGCUAGUGGGCCGGCCCCUGCCUUCCUGAGCCUCACUUUCAUUUUGUCCAUAUGGGAGAUGGGACAGUGACUCUCAUGGAGGGGCUGGGUGAGGAUUAGGGUGAUGAGGGUCUAAGGCAGCUAGGGAAGGUCCCAACAUUGACUCUUUCUCUUCCUCUGAGUAGAUAGAAGACACAGCUCAGCCUGGCUACACACAGACACAUGCAGCACACACGGGUCCACGUGCGUCCCGCACACGCGUGAGUGUACAUGCACAGGUAAACAUGCAGCUCAUGCCCACAGCGCACACAUGGGUCCACGUGCGUCCGGCACACACGUGAGUGUACGUGCACAGGUAAACAUGCGUGCAGUACAUGGCCGCAGCACACACACGGGUAUAUGUGCAUGCAUGGGUCCAUACGCACACAGGCCCUAGGGGUGUGGCCAUACAUGCCCACCCUGGCAUCUGCCUUGAGGGGCUGGAGGGAGGUGGGGGACGCUCUCCGUCCACAGAGAGACUGCUUUUGUGUGUGGCCGCCCUGCCAGGAAAGCGCUGGAGACGCAGCGUCACAGGAGGAAGAGCCAAGGGGUAAAGAGAAUUCCUGAGCGGGUGGAAGGUGGGCCCCAGCACGGCCCAGAGCUCCUUUUUAUACACGUAUUGGCCGCUCUCCUUUGUUGCCCAAGUUGGGAGGACGUGGAGAUGAUGGGGGUUUUGCUGCCUUGCGCCUGCACGGGCCAGGCCGGCCCGCAGUCCUGAAUCAUAAUGGCCACAGUCUCCAGGCUGGCCAGCAGUGUCCGGCAGCUCGCCAGCAAAAGGGCUCCCUGGGCUCAUUGACAUUCUCUGGCGGCCACCUCUAACUGGUGGACACGGCCCUCCCAUUUGUACCUUCAGAAAUACAUAGCCGGGGUCCCUGGGGGCUGUAGUAGGGACAGCUGGGGUCCCUGCUGUGGUCAAGGCCUGGAUUUCAUGUGACUCCAGGGCCACUGGAACAUCCGUCUCUAUGGGUCUCCCAACAGGAGGGCAGCCAAGCAUGCGGGCAGCCCUGGGCAGGGACGCCUCCUCACCUGGCGUUUCGCAGCAUGAGUCCUAUGAGGGGAAACCUUCCAUGGCAUGUGUGGGAGCCUCUUGUGGGCAGACCCGCCGAGGAUCACCACCCCGGGGUGGGAAAGGUGUUCCCUGGUCAGUAGUGAAUAAACAAACAGGGAACCAGAAGUCCCUGCCAGCCCAGAACGCUGCCCGGGGAGCCAGCGCGUGGUCACCAGGGCACAGCAGAGCUCUGCACGCGCCAGGCUGCGUUUGCACCGCACAGGUCCUAGAGUUUGAGGACAGUGUGAUGGUUGCUCAUGGUGUAGGAUUUCUCUCCUGGCAGGGGGAUGGGGUCACAGAACCCCUGCACAGCGCUCUCUGUACCCGUAGCCCCCAGGAGCCUCUUAGUUUUGUUGUGGUCUUGAGGAUGGCACGACGUGUCCCUGAGCGCCCUCAGUGUGGACAGCUGGGCUUUAAACUCACUUCAGACCUGCCGUGUGGGGGUGGCCCCUCUGAGGGCUUGAGGUUAUUUACUUGUGCAGUUUCUCCCUCCCGGCCUAGGCUUUUCUGUUUUGCAGCCCUUUGGUGUUAGUAAGAAACAAGCUCCCUUCCCCUUUUAAAGCCCACAGACCUCCCCGCCCCGACCAGCACUGUCAGGGCGUCAGGGUGUCUGAGCUCAGCUCCUUCCUGGCGGCAUCCUGCAAAAAGAUACACUCGCUCCAUGACUUGGAAAA